GGCAGCUACAAGCAGAGGUCCCAGCUCAGCCCCUGCCCUCGCCCUGGGGGCGCCCCACGGUGCCAGGUAACACGGGCCAAAGACACAGAGGCAUCUGGCCAAGGACUAGGUUCCAGCUCUGGAAAGAGCACGGGAGCCAGAGGCCAAAGUCUUCUGCUCGGGCCAUGCACAGGCUCACCCCAGCCUCAUGGGCCUGACAGGGGCUCAGCAGCUAAGAGGGGGAGGACUGGAGACUCAGGUGUCCAUGGGAGCCCCUGACAGGCCAAAAGAGUGGGAAUCAGGGGAGGGCACCCACCCCCUGCCACUGUCAGGUCACAUGGCAGGUGUCUGCAGAGGCAAAGGUGGUUACCUGCUUCGUGUGUGGUCUCUGGAACCAUUGCAGUGGAGGUAAAGGAAGCGCUGACCUUCCCUGUGGAAUAGUGGGCCUGCCAAGGAAACCAGGGUGGCACCUCAGCAGUGCCAUGGGAGGCUGAUGGGCAAAAAUGUGGUGCCUGCCUAGAAGCCAACCACACCCCACCCCUGACCCCCAGGCCCUGCUCAGUGCUUCUCCUCCAGCAGGGCCUCCCUGACUGGCGGGAGGAAGGAGGACAGGCCGAGCCAGGGGCCCCUGGCCUCAACCGGGUCCCGACUCAGGACGUUAAGUAAAACCCUGUAGAUAAAAUACCACACAGGACCUCAGGGUUAGGAGUGUAUGAGUGAGUUCUCAUUUCUUUUUUUUAUGAGAUAAUGUCUUGCUGUGUACCCAGGCUGUAGUGCUGGGGUGUGAUCCUGGCGCACUGCAGCCUCCAAAUCCUGGGCUCAAGUGACCCCCCCCCACACCUCAGCCUCCUGAGUAACUGGGACGACAGGUGUGUGCCACCAUGCCUGGCUGAUUUUUGGGGGUUUUUUGUAGAGGUAAGGUCUCACUAUGUUGUCCAAGCUAGUCUCGAACUCCUGGCCUCAAGCAAUCCUCCUGCAUCAGCCUCCCAAAAUACUGGGAUUGCAGGCCUGAGCCACCAUGCCUGGACUCACUUCUUUACUUAUUUAUUAACUUAUUAAUUUUUGAGACGGAGUUUCACUCUUGUUGCCCAGGCUAGAGUGCAAUGGUGCCAUCUCUGCUCACAGCAACCUCUGCCUCCCAGGUUUAAGCGACUCUCCUGCCUCAGCCUCCAGAGUAGCUGGGAUUACAGACAUGUGCCACCACGCCCUGCUAAUUUUGUAUUUUCCGUAGGGACAGGGUUUCUCCAUGUUGGUCAGGCUGGUCUUAAAACUCCCAACCUCAGGUGACCCACCCACCUCGGCCUCCCAAAGUGCUAGGAUUACAAGCAUGAGCUUGUACCCGGCCUGGCCUAACUUCUUUUUAAAAGUCUCAAACUUUCUGAAGUAAACACAUUACAUAUUUAAUCAGGGGUGGGGGGGUAAAGUCCCAAUAAAUGUUGUUUUUUUAUCACAGAGGAAGAAAAAGGGGUUUCUUUCAUCAGAAGAAAAUAUAAGCCAGGCACAGUGGCUCACAUCUAUAAUCCCAGCGCUUUGGGAGGCCCAGGCAGGAGGAUCUCAGGUGAAGCUGGAAUUCAAGACCAGCUAGGCAACACAGCCAGAUCCUGUCUCGGAAAAAAAAAAAAAAGAAUUUGAACAAUGCUUUAAGGAGAACUUCAGAGCCACCUGCCCAUGUCUCUGCACUCACUAGCUCCAGAUCCCCACACUCUGCCUGAACAGGAGCAAGAGGCAAACAUGACAGCCCCAUUCAGGAAGCACUGUGAGGUCCCAGGCAUGCCGUCCCCCUCAGGACCGCAGCAGUCCCUGAAAUGCACCAACUGUCCCUGGAAUGGCUUUGGGCCCCAGUGCACAUUGGGCCCUGCCCUCCCAGCCACCACAGAACCACAUGUCCACUCAACGUGCCUGCUCUGGCUGCUGAGCUCAGACUGGGACCACAGCACAAGGCAGACCUUCUGUGACGGGGGUCUCCUCCCGUGUGCCCCCACACACCCCUUGGUUCUUCAAUGCCCAGUAUGGCCGUCAGCCUCUCCCCUUCCGCCUUCUCAGAUUCAAUCUUCCUUGGGGCAGCCCCGGGGCUGUACGCUCAGUGCCAUCAGGGGUACCACAGCUCUGGGGGGAUCCUGGCUGCCUCCCUGCCAUUUACCCCAGGGCCCCAUGAGCCCCGUUCCCAGGACCACUCCAAGAGGCCAUGAGACGAGCAGGGAGACAAGGGAUUGGCCGAGUGCCCUGUGCCACUCACAGCAUUCAACUUGUCCACUUUCUUCUUCUCUGGGACCUUCAUGGUGGCUGCCAGAAUCUCAUCCCCUUUGAACUCCUUAUAGAGCUCCUGCAGGGUCUCUCGGGUCUCGGCAUUUGUGUUUUUCAGAUAAUAAGAUGGGUCCUGUUUGGCCUUCUCCUCAUCUACAAAACAGUGGCAUGGCCCUGAGCAGCCGAGCCCUCAGCAGCCUCCCAACAUGCGUCUGCUGCGGACACAGAUCCAGAACAGUCCAGGGCUUGCCAGCCACAGCAUAGGCCCCAAGCUACUGUCAGCCACAGAAUGCCAAGGUGCCAGCUACAGGUCUGAGGGUCUCCCCACACAGGUCACAAGGGUCUCAGGAUGUACUUAAGGCUGAUUUAAAGUUUCCUUUUUAUAUUUAUCUGUAUAUUCUAAUAUUUUUAGAGUAUAUGCUUCGCUUUUUUUGUUUUUUGAGACAGGGUCUGGCUCUGUUGCCCUGGCUGGAAUGCAGUUACACGAUCUCAGCUCACUGCGGCCUCCAUCUCCUGGGCUCAAGUGAUUCCCCUGCCUCAGCCCCCCACCAAGUAGCUGAGGCUACAGGCCUGUGCCAACCACACCCAGCUACUUUUUCUAUUUUUUGUAGAGACAGAGUUUCCCUAUGUUGCCCAGGCUGGUCUCAAAAUCUUGAGCUCAAGCAAUCCACCAGCUUUGGCCUCCCAAAGUGCUGGGAUUACAGGCCUGAGCCAUAGUGCCCAGCUGCUUUGCUUCUGUAAUUUUUUUUUUUUUUUUUUUAGACGGAGUUUCUCUCUUGUUACCCAGGCUGGAGUGCAAUGGCACGAUCUCGGUUCACCACAACCUCUGCCUCCUGGGUUCAGGCAAUUCUCCUGCCUCAGCCUCCUGAGUAGCUGGGAUUACAGGCACAUACCACCAUGCCCAGCUAAUUUUUUUUAUUUUUAGUAGAGACGGGGUUUCACCAUGUUGACCAGGAUGGUCUCGAUCUCUUGACCUCGUGAUCCACCCGCCUCGGCCUCCCAAAGUUCUGGGAUUACAGGCUUGAGCCACCGCGCCCGGCCCUGUAAUUUUAAAAGUUAUUUUGGGGCCGGGCACAGUGGCUCAUGCCAGUAUUCCCAGCACUUUGGGAGGUUGAGGCAGGUGGAUCACCAGGUCAGGAGAUCUAAACCAGCAUGGCUAACACAGUGAAACCCUGUCUCUACUAAAAAUACAAAAAAAGAGCCAGGUCUGGUGGCAUCUGCCUGUAGUCCCAGCUACUUGGGAGGGUAAGGCAGGAGAAUCAUUUGAACCCGGGAGGCAGAGGUUGCAGUGUGCCAAGAUUGCACCACUGCACUCCAGCCUGGGCUACAGAGCAAGACUCCGUCUCAAAAAUAAAAGGUAUUUUUAAUUAAAACAACAGAAAUGUUUGUGGGUCUUUUCAGAUGUGAAAUGCCCCAUUCUUGCCCACUCAAGAGGGUGCCUCCUGCCUACUGGGCCUUGGACAGCAGCCUGCUCUGUGGAGAGGGUCAGGCAUUCCUGUCCAGAGAAUACAGGCCCAGCCCAGCCCCAAACCCUGGCCUCAGACUCUUCUGACUCAAUCUCCCCCAGUCAUGUGCUCAGCCUCCCUAAAACCCAGUUCACACAACUCUUGUCAAGUACCCAGGCCACUGCUCUGCAGCACGAGGCCAAGUGACCUCUGAGCAUGAGUCCUGCUGGCUCCUCCGAGGUUACAGGACAGCCACCAGUGGCUAGGAAAACAGGAGGACCCUGUCACCCCACCACCUGCCCACUGAAGGCACCAGACAGUGCAGAAAGCAGGGGAACCUGCGCAGGCAUCCUGGCAGGGCAGCAAGUCUAUCCCACAUGUUGUUUCUGAGGCUGCAGUUGACUCGGAUUCUCUGAACACUGGCUUAGAAAAUGCAGGAUUUAUCUGGGCUGGAACCCCUGACUCCCAGGAAGCUGGGGGCUUUGCCCAGGGAACACUGUCCCAAUUUCCCCCAAAUGCCUCCUCACCUAGCCCAGCCCCUGGUUGUACAUACCUGGGUCUAUUAUUUUCAUGUUAUUCUUAACAUGAUAGAAGUUAGAGACAUUGAACUUGUCCAAGUUGGUGGGGUCCUGUGGCAAAGAGAGAACACCCAGCAGAGUGAACCCAGCCUGCGGCCAAAUGGCAGCCACAUGUAGCAAAGGACGGGCAGGUGUCAGAGGUAGGGGGAGUCAAGCAGGGCAUGGGGGAGGAUGGUGGUCUGCCCCAGGCAGGGCAAUAAGCAGGAGCAGGGACAGGGGCAUAGCCUUGCUAGGUGCUGGCCGAGCUGCGACCUUCCUCCAGGCACACUCUAACGAGCUGUUGGUCACUGUUAGGAAGCUACUGGAUAGGAACAUGGGCAGCCAUGGGGCUGACGUCUGGUUAGAAUGGGACAAGCCACAGAGGUGACCGACUGAGCAGGCUGCCCCAGGCCGCACUCUAGCCAUCACCUGCUUUUUUCUAAGUCGUGUUUUUCAUUAAUUCACUUGGGGUUCUCUGAUAUCUGCAGGGAGGUCUGUGCCAGACACCGAGGCCCAUAGCUCACCACGGUUCCAGCCCUCAAGGCACUGGAACAGAACCAGGCCAGCAGAAUGGCCAUUCAGAUGCCUCAGCCAGGAAGAAGUGGUGUUACGAUGCAUGCCCCAAGCCUUGGCACAGGAGCCUGCGAGCAGGGAGGCCCAGAACUGGCACCAUGACACCAUUUGAGAGGCGAGGAACGAGAGAGACAGCAGUGUUCACCCCACUGAUUGAAAGCAGUGGCCCCCACAAAGGCGGAGCUGGCUGGGCAUCAGACGAUGUGCCAGUUCAGCCUUGCAGCAACCUUCCUGCAGGAAGCUCUUGUCUACAUAUUGAUCAGCAAAGUGGCUGGGCGAGCCACCCACCCACUCGCUGAAGCCUUCACUGACUACUUCCCAUGCACAGGCAUGGUGCCAGGCCUGUGGGCAGGGGCUGUGCACAUGAGAUGCCUGCACUCCUGGGGCCCAGUAUAGCAGAGUCCUCAAUCCACUACGAGGACCAACCAUGCCAGUCUAUGUAGGCUUCUGGCAAGAAGUAGCCCCUAAGGUCCCUGGAGCAGCGCUGGCCACCUAUACUCCACCAAUGUCCUGGUGCAGGACUGAAAAUGGCACAAAGGUCGGGGCUUUCCUGCCACAUAGGGCCUGUCCCGCCUCACCCCUGAGAGGAGGACCCAUGUGUGAACAUGGCUGCCUCCUCUCUUCCUACACCCACUCCCAGACAGAACUCCUCCAGGGGACAGCUCCUUCCUGGACACAACUGGCUCCAUCGAGAGCCAGGGCCAGCACUCCUCUCACACCGUUCUCAGAGCACGGUGCCUUCCCAGCACCUAGGUUUUGCUGAAGAUGCAGAAGGACCCCCUGCGAGAUAAGGGUCCCUGCUUGCCAGCCAGGACUGCCUGAUUCCAAAGGAUGCAGCUCCCCCAACCCUAUUCUUGACCUGCCUGAAAUCGGGGAGGCUGUCAUGCCAGAGCUUUGGCAGAGGCCGGUGCCUGUGGCUGUGACUGUAAACCCCACAAAGACAGGCCAUGCCCGCAGCACAGCCCAGCCCAUGUAUCCUGGGAACACACAGCAGAGAUCUCCCCACCGUGGUCUCCAGGCCCUGGAGCAAGGACACACCUCGUA